rnacentral:misc_RNA from 1 species
UGUGGGAGCGGGCUUGCUCGCGAUGCAGACGCUGUGGUGUUUCAGUUGAAUCGCGUCGAUGCAAUCGCGAGCAAGCCCGCUCCCACC